AAAAAUGUAAAAUUUAAAACUAAUUGAUUAAUAGUUAUGGUCUUUAAAUAUAAAUAAUUUGGCGGUAUUUUAGUCUUUUCAGAGGAACCUGUUUUGUAAAUGAUAAUCCACGAUUAAUAAUUCUUAAGUUAGAAAUUUAUAUAUCAUCGUUAUUAAAUAUUUUUAUAGAAAAUAAUAUUUAUAAAAUAUAAUUUUAUUUUAAUUCAGAUCAUGGUAUAGUUUAUAUUUAAGUAAUAAUGGGUUACAAUAUUAAUAAAUUUGGAAUUUAAAUUUAAAAUUUAAGUGAAAUUGGAUUUGAAAGUAAUUAUUUUAAUUUAGUAAUAAUGAUUAAGCUCUAAAAUAUGC
rnacentral:rRNA from 1 species